AACCACCGGUUAAACUGACGGUGGUUCGAAUCCGAGCAGCGCGCGGCGGCGACUCGGGAGACGGAUUUCGCGACGAGGCGGAGGUUCUCGGCGAGCUCGGCGCAGGCGAGUCCCAGUAGAAACGACUCGUCGUUGGAGACGAUCUUGCGGACUCCUUGUAAGGAGAUGGAGUCGUUCUUGAGACGGAUAACGUUCUUGUCGGAGAGGGAUUGCCAGAGGUGGAUGAGCUUGGUCAUUAAGGAGGCUAUCUCGAAGGAGAGGAUGCCGACGGUUUUGGAAGGUUUGGUGGAGGCUGAUCGUGGGAGGUUGAUUGCGGAUUUGACUGCUUUGAUUAGCCAUGUUUCUAGCGGCGCCAUGUGUGUGGGGGAAGUGGAGGUUUCAGAAGGAGGAAUGGAGGGGAGGGGGGGAUUAUGAAGAGAAU
rnacentral:lncRNA from 1 species